AGAGAUGUGUGAUGACGCAUAUCAAUAAGCGGAGGAAAAGAAACUAACAAGGAUUCCCUUAGUAACGGCGAGUGAAGCGGGAAGAGCUCAAAUUUGAAAUCUUCAAGGUUCUACCUUGACGAAUUGUAGUUUAUAGAAGUGUUUUCUGUUAGUAGAGUGGCAAAAGUUCUUUGGAAUAGGACAUCAUAGAGGGUGAGAAUCCCGUAUUUGGUCAUUCUUUCUAGCUUUGUGAUACACUUUCAACGAGUCGGAUUGUUUGGGAAUGCAGUCCAAAAUGGGUGGUAAAUUUCAUCUAAAGCUAAAUAUUGGCGAGAGACCGAUAGCGAACAAGUACCGUGAGGGAAAGAUGAAAAGAACUUUGAAAAGAGAGUUAAACAGUACGUGAAAUUGUCAAAAGGGAAGCGUUUGACACCAGUGUUGUUAUUCCGAAAAUCAAUUAAGAAUGUUUUAGUUUUUAAGAAGUUAUGACUUCAUCGGCCUGCUCCUUUCUUUAUGAAACUUUCUUAAUGCACUUUUCGGUUAACAAGUCAACAUCAAUUUCUUUUGUUGUAAAAGGGUAUGAGGAAGGUGGCUUUCUUUUCGGAGAAAGUGUUUAUAGCCUUGUACCUCUGCAAUCGGAGAGAUUGAGGUCUGCAGCGUAGAUCCUUCGGGGUUAGAUACAUUGUGCUAAGCUAUAGCCUUGUAUAGACAACUUGUUGACUAUGCUCUAGUCAUGUAGCUUACUCGCUUAUGCUAUUUUACCUACGCUUAGGAUGUUGAUAGUCACAGCGUGUAC
rnacentral:rRNA from 1 species